GGACUAUAACUCAGUUGGUAGAGUGCUUGCCUUGCACGCACAAGGCUCUGGAUUCAAUCCCCAGCCA
rnacentral:tRNA from 1 species